CGGAGGGUGCAAGCGUUAUCCGGAUUCAUUGGGUUUAAAGGGUGCGUAGGAGGGCAGGUAAGUCAGUGGUGAAAUCUCCGGGCUUAACUCGGAAACUGCCGUUGAUACUAUCUGUCUUGAAUACCGUGGAGGUGAGCGGUAUAUGUCAUGUAGCGGUGAAAUGCUUAGAUAUGACAUAGAACACCGAUUGCGAAGGCAGCUCACUACACGAAUAUUGACUCUGAGGCACGAAAGCGUGGGGAUCAAACAGGAUUAGAUACCCUGGUAGUCCACGCCCUAAACUAUGGAUACUCGACAUACGCGAUACACUGUGUGUGUCUGAGCGAAAGCAUUAAGUAUCCCACCUGGGAAGUACGACCGCAAGGUUG
rnacentral:rRNA from 1 species